UACGUAGGGCGCAAGCGUUAUCCGGAAUUAUUGGGCGUAAAGAGCUCGUAGGCGGUUUGUCGCGUCUGCCGUGAAAGUCUGGGGCUCAACUCCGGAUCUGCGGUGGGUACGGGCAGACUAGAGUGCAGUAGGGGAGACUGGAAUUCCUGGUGUAGCGGUGAAAUGCGCAGAUAUCAGGAGGAACACCGAUGGCGAAGGCAGGUCUCUGGGCUGUAACUGACGCUGAGGCACGAAGGUCAGGGGAGCAAACGGG
rnacentral:rRNA from 1 species